rnacentral:lncRNA from 1 species
GUGGGCGCUGACCUUGCGGGACUUCUCCAGCAGCUUGCUCACCGUGUUGCUGGUGGAGGCCUGGUACUUGGAGAGCUUGGUGAGGUCAUUCUGGAUGCCCUUCACGGAGCCCUCCAAACUGAUCUGUCGCUGCUCCAUCUUGUGCUGGUUCUCCUGCACAGCGUCUAGCAUGUUCACCAGCUUGUCCAGGAGCGUGAGCACCGUGACUGCGUUCACCUGAGGUCCCAUCCAGCCCAUUUAACACGGCAUUGUGGCUCUGGAGACCUGGAAGCACUGCUAACUGUUCUCUCGAUUUUCUGACGCUCGGCCACAUCAACCUGUCAUACUAGUUGUGAGGAGAAGUCAAGGACAGUGACACAGCCAGCCAGUCUGAGGCAUUUUCCAUCAUCCUGAAGGAGUUGCCCUAUCCUGCUUUUCACUGGAGGGGGCAUGGAUGGGUUCUGCUGGAAGAGCAGAAUGCACUUCAAAGACUAGCCAAUAAAACUCUCAUGGGCUCCUGACACACUGACCUCUGUCAGUUCCUUCAGCACACCAGGCUAAUCCCCAGUCUUGCGCCUUUGGACCAG